UCUCAAUUGGCUAUAUAUGAA
rnacentral:piRNA from 1 species